UUCGGCUGAGGAGAAGGCCAAAAGCUAGGGUUUCCUCACGAAACCCUAGUGCAACUACUAUUUACAUAUGCACAUUUGCAAGAUAGUCCUCCCAGGGAUAAUAUUCUCAGUCAAGUCCCUCACAGCAUGCGUAUUUUACACAUACGCACCUCCAUGUCCGAUCUCACGCAAUUCGGCACAUAAAAUAUUACGACUUUUGCGAAUUUCCCGAUUUUCCACUCUCGACCCCUUAGCGAACUUCAUGCAAUAUCCGGCAAUCCGUUCAUCGGAUUUCCGAACGGAUUGCACCAUCGCGUUCAGCACGACGAAGGCAAUGAAACUACGAUUUCGUUUCAUCCGAUUUACUUGCCGAUUUGCGACCAAACCCAACUGCUCUCCAACUAAUCCACAAAUUACACAUAGACCUAUGUAUAAACCCUAAAACCUUUAAUCCAAAUUCAAAUUUGAAUUCCCUACCACCAGUGGGUACCAGAAACAACU
rnacentral:lncRNA from 1 species